GAUUGACACUAGGGGUGCCGCAUGGCUGAGACGAACGUGAUUGUUCGGACCCUUUGAACCUGAUCUGGAUUGUACCAGCGUAGGGAAGUGGAGAGUGAAUAGC
rnacentral:ncRNA from 2 species